CAUUUCCAGCUCUCUUGAUCCUGGAAGAAAACAACUUCACUUGAAAAUAUGAAGCCUCGAGGGUCCAAAUAAGAAAACAGAUGAAAAAUACUCCAAAUACUUUUGGCCUUUUAUGAGAAAACUUUGGGCCCAAGAAGGUUUAUGCUGAACCCUCAAACACAUGCUGUUCAAAUGGCUUGAAAUAUUGAGUGAAGUGUGUUCAUCUUUCAUUAGCUGGAGAAAAGGCUCUGCAAGGGAUAUAAUCACCAGCUGUGGAGAGCUUUCUGAAACUCGAACUUACUCCUCAGUGUCCCGGCUCCUUCCUCUUGGUGUAUCGCUGGGGUUUGCUGCAUGCCCCCACUCACAUCACAUGGUCCUGCCCUAGGACCCUGAGAGCCUCCUCCAACAGCAGUGCCCAGGAGUGGGACCAGUCACAGUGGAAGCCACAAGGGAGAUUUGUGUAGAUCAGAUGGGAAAUCACUAGAUGCCCUCAGGAUUGGUCAACAGGAUAUUUGCUGCAGCCAGGAAUAGAGUUUCCCUGUAAGUUGUUUGGCAAAUUGUGUGGGGCAGGCUUGUCUCAGUGCCUUACCCAUCCUUCUGCAGUCUGGUCUUCACCUCUAAAAUAAUAAUUGUCCCAGUGCCCCAUUUGAUGGUGCAUCAGUCAAAUGGCACAAUUGUGCACUCUGCUUGGGCCAAAGUGGUAUGGAAGAAGAAGACAGCUAAACUCAACUAAUUGCAAGCCCUGCAUAAGUACAGCAAAAUUCACAGGCUCCAUAAUAAACUUCUUAGAAACCUCGUUGAAAGUUGGCAGUUACCGAGCGAUAAAAUGCUGAAACUUUUUCUCUGAUAAAGUUAAAAUGCAGUGAUUUUUCUUCUGAAAUAUUCUUGCAGAAGCACUGAUAAAUGUAUUUAUGUCAUGAAUAAAACGCCUGAUGAAAACUAAUCCGAGAGACAGAGUAAGUGAUUGAAGAGGGCCAGGAUUGUCAGUGCUUCCCAUCUGCUUUGCAUCACUGAGCCGGGCAAAACAUCAGAGCAUAUUGGUGAAUCUGGCAGACGUCAUGUUAUUUUUAUGUCAUCCUUAUUCUUCCAGGGCCUGAUCCAAGCCUCACUGAAAUCCAUAGAAAUGAGUGGACUUUCCUUUACAUCAGCGAGCUUUGAAUUGGUUCCUUCCUCGCUCACUGGUAAUGUCAGGAGCCCGUGAUGGGUCUUGGAGGCAUUUUGACAGAGCAGUUGGGCACAAGCGUGCUUUCCUUUUUCAUCCUGCCCUCUGACGGUCUUUCUAUUGAUAUAUGGUGAUGGCUGGAGACCCGAGAUAAAAUGAAAUGAGGAGCAUAACAUACUGGAAAAUGCAUACUGAUUUAGAAGUGAAUGAGACCAUUCCCAGAAGUGCUGAAAUUCAAUGGCAUUUAGAAUCCCAAGGACCCUAUUAUUUUGGAAAAUGGACCACAUGCUUUCAAGACAUUCGGGCAGCUCUGAAAACUUCAUCCAUCACUUCUAUGGAGAGCAGUGUAGACCUUAUGUAAUAUCACAGGCAACAGCCAGAACUGUUGAGAGUAAAACCCACAAAAUGGCCUGAUCUUCUAUUGUUUCUGAAGCAAGAAAACAGAAUUAAACCAAUUGAAGUAGAAUUUAACAAAGAAAGACAUCUGAGCUCCGAUGCCAAGAGAAAGGAUGGUCCCAGAGCUGGAGCUUCAGGGAGAUGUGGAGGUCAGCCCUCAAUCCACCAAGGGCUUUGGUGCUCUCUACCUUGCAGAACACUGAAAUGUCAACCUCUUCCAGGACCUCAGAUACACUGUGGCAUGCACGAGGAAUGCAUAAUACCAACAAAUCAUGUGCUUGUGACCCAUCUAUAAAAAAAAAAGGUGUAGAAAUGAUUUAGUUACAAGUCCUUUACCUAAAGAUGUCCUUUCAUCUGCUGCUGGAUAUUUUCUUCGAGGAGAUUAUUCAUGGAGCAAGGUUCUAAAAUAAAAAUUGAGGAGGAUGGAGCAAAGCUGGGCUUUGGUGAAUACAUCUAAACCCUAGACACAUUGCAAAUAAACGGAGCUUGUUCCCAGGCAACUCCCAAGUAGAAAAUAGGCACAACUGUUCCAAACGAUUUUCUCUACGAUUUGUUUACCUAGCUGUAGGGUCUUCUUCAGAGUCAGGCAAAAUCAAAGGAGAGACAGUUAUUGACCUCAGCUUGCUUUGAAUCUGGCUUGUAAUGAGAGCUAUACCCACACCAAGUUUCAAAUUCCAAGCAGCUUGAUGUGGCCUUUUACAGAGAAAAAAAUGGUUAGAAUUUUUAUUACAAUAAGAAAAUGCAAUUUUUCAUUCUCUCCUCAUUUCAGAAGGUCUGAAGGGAUUUUACUCAACUUCCUCUUCUACCUUCAGGCAGAGACCAAAUCUGAGAAAUUGCAGACCAAUUUUGGAAAGCUCUCAGGAUGUGAAAAUCAGGGGCUCAUGAUGGGAAGCUGCUGUUCAAUACACUUUGUUGUCAUGAGUGCUUCUGGGAAUCUGCUGCAGACCAGGUGCCCCCUUCACCCCCUCUUUUUCUUGUUUUAUAUCCUUCUACCAUCUGAUCAGAAUGAUUUAAAAACAAAAAAGUGUCUCAUCAGGAGAGUAGGAGGUUUUGCCCUGUUGUGACCAAGAUGUCUAGAAGGUAAUCAAGAUCUGGCCUUGCAGAGGCUGGGAAUUAUCUAGCAUCUUCUAGAGUGUGACAUCCAGCAGAAAAAUAUAAAUCUUUUCACUGCCUGAAACUCAGCAAGGUCAAAUGUAGUCUUGCUGUUACUCUGGCACUGAAUUUAGCAGCCCCAGACAAAACUGCAGGAACAGCUCAGGGAGGAGGAGGAGAGAAAUGACAGCUAAAUUCAGGGGUCCUUCCUUUAGGCAAAGUCCUGAAACUGUUGUCCAGGCUUUUGAUGAUACAAGGUGUAAUAGAGUUAGCAUUGAUCUGCUUUUGCAAUGUUCAGUGUUUAGAAGAGUGUGGUGUGCCCUUAUCAAGAGCAAAUGUGAGCCUCAUAAAUAUCUGAAUGCAGCUGGUAUUAUUUUCAAGCCCAAUUUAGGUACCCUUUUUAGAUAUUUUGGCAAAAUUCACCAGCAGUAUGGAAAAGAGUCCACAGAACUGGAAAAUUUUGCUGUAAAUUCGCUGUUGUUAUAUCCAGCAAUUUGGAAAAAGUCAGCACAAAGGCACAAUCCUUAAAAUAAAUAAAAGAAAAUGUCUCAUAGCUGCCGGCAGGCACUGGAGCUCCCCAGCAGAGGCUGCCUGGGAGCAGCACACACUGUGCACAACUCCUCAGCCCCAGUAAACAGCAGCUUGGUGUUCUGCCUCCCUGGGAGAGAUGUGCUCUUUGCCAUCGGUGUAUGUUGCUGAUGCUUCAGUCUCUUCCCUGGCUAUAGACACCUACUCCUAAUUUGCGUUCCUGCGCUGCUCCAGGAAGAGCUGGAGGAGACAGAAGGUGUGAAUGGACAGCCAAGACCGAGCAGAGCCAAGGGACUGGCUUGGCUCUGGAAGGCAAAAUGCAAGCUGAGCCAUUGGAGCCGGCUGUACACAGAUGAGAAGGAAAAUGCACAAAGUGAUAAAUAACUUUGCUUAGGCUGCCAGGAAGGGCUGCCAGAACAUUCUCGCUUGGCUUUGCUCUGACUUGGCUCGCCUGCCGCCGCCAGCCCCCCUCCUGCACAGACGAAAUGCCGGGCCAGAGCCACGCAUGCAUUCAGGGCCGGCUCACCCCGUCCACCCACUGGCCAGUGGGCCCCUCGGACAGCCACCUCUGCCCCUGCCUCUCCCGUUUGGAGCCCACCCUCUGCCUGCAUGGACAUCCCAGAGGUGCACCUGACAGGAAGGCAUGGAGAGAGAAAAUCCUGAGCUGUGCCAUUAGCUUGGGUUGUUUUUAGAGGAGCCACCUUUCCUGAUGCUUCCCCAGCAAUCUGGAUGGCAUCUGCCUCCUACGGUGCUGCUCCACGGGCAGCACAAACACUCCUUCUCCUGGAGUCAGCUCCGCACCCUUUCCUUCCAAACACAAGUAGCACACACAGGUGAUACGGAUGGUUUCAUCAGACACCUGCAUUCUCACCCGUGAGUGCCUGGCAGCUUGCAGAGGAGCCUCAGAUGAAGGGCUGGAGUCAUAGCAGGGGAUGUGCGGAACAGGGAUGAGCUGCCAGUGCCACACACAGCAGCAAAUCAAAGCAACACUUUCUCCAGUGCUGUGUGGUGCUACCAACUUCGUGCCUCAUUGGAGUGGAAGGAGAGAUGGAUAUUUUAGGGGAUUUAUCAGGCAAAAAGAAGUGUCGGCAUUUCUCAGUUUCAACUGGCAGCUCCAGCUUGAGGAAAGCUAUUGUUGCAGGAUUUCCAACGUCUCGUUUGCCUUUCUGAUCUGUGGUGCACAUUGAACAUAUGUCUCUGUUUAGCUGCCCAUUAUUUAACCUAGAUUUUUUCCCCCCUUGAGAGAUUACAGUGAAUUCAGGGCACAUGAAUGGUGUAAUUUAUCAUUUUCCAAUAUAGACUGUCAUGCACUUAUAUAUAGUGAAAAUAAUUUGUUGUCAAGUUAUCCAGUUACCACCUCAUUUUAUAUGCUUCAUAAUAAACUAUUUGUUAUGAUCCAUGCUCGUCAGAAGUCUAAAUAACCAAAAUAUUGCCAUCUCACUACAGAUAACUACUAAAUAUUUCCAGCAGCACUGAAUCAUCCUGAUCCCUGGGAGAGCCAUGUCCACAUUUUUACAGAGAUGGUUUGCUACCAGAAAAUCCCUUUUCAAGAGUGCCCAGUUUUCUUUUGAAAUCCUAUAGACUUUGGAAAAAUUCAUUUUGAGGAGAAAACGCUAUUUAAUUGGAAUUUUUUUUUACGCUUGUUCCAAGUUACAUUUAUUUUCCUGUUUUCCUCUUACUGUCAUGCAUUCCCUUCACAAAGGGUAUGUCUUUCUGUGUGACCCUACUCAUAGCACUAGCACACUGAAGGUUAUGGGCAUGCCCUUUUGGUACAUGCGAUAUUUUUCUAAAAUAUCAGAAUGCCUAGAGUACUCUGAUUAGCACCCAUUCACCCUGCGUGCCACAAAACGCCCAGAGAUCCUUUAUAGUCACUGAAAAGAGAGAGCUGCUGUUAGAAAGUGGUUUGUCCUGCUCCAGGAUCCCGAUGACCCUUGGCUGUACCUGUCCCACCUCCUGACAGCUAAGGUAUGCUAGCCUCCUGCUUAGAAGAGGCCUUCAAUUAGGCAGAUCAGUUAGGUGCACAAAAAUGGCUUAGGCUGAAUCUGGCUCAGACACUCCUUUUGUUCCUCUGUUGCUUGGUGUUAAACCAUUUCCCUCCUGUGCAAGCCAGAGACCCCAGCACCAUUUGUUGUGCUUUCACGUCUGUGUUCUAAUCCGCCAGCCUGACGGGGUAGCUGCCCUCAGGGAUUUAAAAUGUAAGUUAUUUCUACUGUUAUUUUAUGGCAUGACUUUGCAUGAUGUGACAUCCCUGUUUGGCUUGAACGGGGACCAGUGGCUUGGACUGCCUGACAGACGAUAGUCAGAGACUAAUGACUGCCUGCAUACUGCUAGGAGGAACCCCCUGGGGCAGCAGGGGGACCGCUGCCAGCUCUGCUCUGAAUUAACAUCUUCACUAAGGAGCAGGCAGGGAGAUUAGGCAGCCGAGGAAAGAAGGACAAGUAACACCAACCCCCCUGGUGUUCCAGCUGCCGAGAAGUCAGCCUUCUGAAAAUAUUGCGAGUAGGUUGUUCAGGUCGAUCAAACAGAUAAAUAAUCAAGGACCCACACUGUUCCCCAGGGGGUUUUAAUGUUUCAGAUAGAUGUAAACAUGGCAAGUUGUUAUCAGAGAAAUUGCAGUAGCUGAAACUGGACUGAAACUGUUUGUACACAGAAGCAAUCUCUAGAGCAUACGGUUAGGAUGUUUAUAAAGUGAUGAGCUGCUAGCUCCAGUUUCUGUGGCUUCCUAAACAAAAUGAUGGGCUUAGGUAGAAAAAUCACUGCCCCGCAUAUUCUCAAACUGCUAAAACAAGGCUGCAGACUAAAACAGUAGUGGAUCAAAAAUGGGGGGAGGAGGAAUUUGAGAGCUUCUUUGAAGCAGCUCUCUGGAGGAGGAGCACCUCAGAAAAAACCCCAGGUGACAAAAGAGCAAAAAAUUAACACAAGAUAAACUCCAAACUCGAAUCUUUCUGCCUUUAUAGCUCUUCUUUUGCAACUGUAUUUCAAAUAUUGUUAUAAAAAAAUUUGCUUUGUUCCAUUAGAAUAACAUUGUUUUUCUUCUUUAACCUUGAGUGGGCUUUUGAAGGAAUUCAGAUAACUCUGGAAAGCAACAGGAGCACUGGGGUUUUUAAAAUAUUUCUGAAACCAGAAACACUUUAAAGGGUUUGUCUUUGCAGAAUACAUCAUUAUUCAAUUUUCUGAAAAAUGGGUCUUUUGAA